rnacentral:rRNA from 1 species
GUGCCAGCAGCCGCGGUAAUACGUAGGUGGCAAGCGUUGUCCGGAUUUAUUGGGCGUAAAGCGAGCGCAGGGGGUUUCUUAAGUCUGAUGUGAAAGCCCCCGGCUCAACCGGGGAGGGUCAUUGGAAACUGGGAGACUUGAGUGCAGAAGAGGAGAGUGGAAUUCCAUGUGUAGCGGUGAAAUGCGUAGAUAUAUGGAGGAACACCAGUGGCGAAGGCGGCUCUCUGGUCUGUAACUGACGCUGAGGCUCGAAAGCGUGGGGAGCGAACAGGAUUAGAUACCCUGGUAGUCCACGCCGUAAACGAUGAGUGCUAAGUGUUGGAGGGUUUCCGCCCUUCAGUGCUGCAGCAAACGCAUUAAGCACUCCGCCUGGGGAGUACGACCGCAAGGUUGAAACUCAAAGGAAUUGACGGGGGCCCGCACAAGCGGUGGAGCACGUGGUUUAAUUCGAUGCAACGCGAAGAACCUUACCUACUCUUGACAUCCACGGAAUUUAGCAGAGAUGCUUUAGUGCCUUCGGGAACCGUGAGACAGGUGCUGCAUGGCUGUCGUCAGCUCGUGUUGUGAAAUGUUGGGUUAAGUCCCGCAACGAGCGCAACCCUUAUCCUUUGUUGCCAGCGGUCCGGCCGGGAACUCAAAGGAGACUGCCAGUGAUAAACUGGAGGAAGGUGGGGAUGACGUCAAGUCAUCAUGGCCCUUACGAGUAGGGCUACACACGUGCUACAAUGGCGCAUACAAAGAGAAGCGAACUCGCGAGAGCAAGCGGACCUCAUAAAGUGCGUCGUAGUCCGGAUUGGAGUCUGCAACUCGACUCCAUGAAGUCGGAAUCGCUAGUAAUCGUAGAUCAGAAUGCUACGGUGAAUACGUUCCCGGGCCUUGUACACACCGCCCGU